rnacentral:rRNA from 1 species
UACGAAGGGAGCUAGCGUUGUUCGGAAUUACUGGGCGUAAAGGGUGCGUAGGCGGUUCGAUUAGUCAGAUGUGAAAGCCCUGGGCUCAACCCAGGAACUGCGUUUGAUACUGUCGAGCUAGAAUUCGGGAGAGGUGAGUGGAAUUCCCAGUGUAGAGGUGAAAUUCGUAGAUAUUGGGAAGAACACCGGUGGCGAAGGCGGCUCACUGGACCGACAUUGACGCUGAGGCACGAAAGCGUGGGGAGCAAACAGG